rnacentral:rRNA from 1 species
UCGAACGCCAUGGUUUCGGCCAUGGAGUGGCGCACGGGUUGAGUAACGCGUGGGAACCUGCCCAGCAGUAUGGGACAACCGCGGGAAACUGCGGCUAGUACCGUAUACGCCCCUGCAAGGGGGGAAAGAUUGAUCGCUGUUGGAGGGGCCCGCGUCGGAUUAGGUAGUUGGUGGGGUAAUGGCCUACCAAGCCUGCGAUCCGUAGCUGGUCUGAGAGGAUGAUCAGCCACACUGGGACUGAGACACGGCCCAGACUCCUACGGGAGGCAGCAGUGGGGAAUAUUGGACAAUGGGCGCAAGCCUGAUCCAGCAAUGCCGCGUGAGUGAUGAAGGCCUUAGGGUUGUAAAGCUCUUUCACACGCGACGAUGAUGACGGUAGCGUGAGAAGAAGCCCCGGCUAACUCCGUGCCAGCAGCCGCGGUAAUACGGAGGGGGCAAGCGUUGUUCGGAAUUACUGGGCGUAAAGGGCGCGCAGGCGGCUGCUCAAGUCAGGCGUGAAAGGCCUGGGCUCAACCCGGGAAUUGCGCUUGAGACUGGGCUGGCUUGAGUGCGGGAGAGGAUGGUGGAAUUCCC